ensembl:ncRNA lncRNA:CR44761 long non-coding RNA:CR44761
AGAGACAGUGGCUCCAGCUCCGGCUCCAGCUCCAGCUCGAGCACCAUCUCCUGUUCCCGUUUUCCGUGCAUCUGAAACCGAAACUCUGGCAGAAGCGCUGCUCUGAUCUGAGGCCCAAAAACUGGAGGCCGGGAGCACGCGUAAGCAGAUACUCUGAUACAGAUACAGAUGGUGCUCGGGCUGCGCCCCCCCCCCCCCCCCUUUCGGAACACACUCACACACAGAAGGGAGGAUGGGGGAAAGGCGAUGCGUGGGUGGUCCUGGGUCCUGGGGAAACGGUGGAUGUACUGGCAUCCAGCCGGGGUGGUUCUCGCUGCUGCCUUGCUCUUUAAAGACCUUUAAAGUUUAAGCCGAAUGUCAGCCAUAAAAAGAAUCAAAAAUAAAACUUGGCAACAAAAGUUUAGCAAGUUGGAUAAGCCCAAAUAAAAAAUAUUAAAUUGAACUCAUCUUAGGGCGGGAGAGAAGACAACGACUCCUUGGAAUAGCAUUUUCGAAAUUUAU